rnacentral:tRNA from 1 species
GACUGGCUGGCUCAGUCCGUAGAGCAUGUGACUCUUAAUCUCAGGGUUGUGAGUUCAAGCCCCGUGUUGGGCA